rnacentral:rRNA from 1 species
CCUACGGGAGGCAGCAGUCGGGAAUAUUGCGCAAUGGAGGAAACUCUGACGCAGUGACGCCGCGUAUAGGAAGAAGGUUUUCGGCUUGUAAACUCUUGUCGUUAGGGAAGAUAAAAGACUGUCCCUAAGGAGGAAGCCCCGGCUAACUAUGUGCCAGCAGCCGCGGUAAUACAUAGGGGGCAAGCGUUAACCGUCAUUAUUGGGUUUAAAGGGUGCGUAGACGGAAGAACAAGUUGGUUGUGAAAUCCCUCGGCUCAACCGUAAAAUGGCAAUUGAUACUGGCAGUCUUGAGUACAGUUGAGGUAGGCGGAAUUCGUGGUGUAGCGAUGAAAUGCUUAGAUAUCACGAAGAACUCCGAGUGCGAAGGCAGCAUACUAAACUGCCACUGACAUUGAUGCUCGAAAGUGUGGGUAUCAAACAGGAUUAGAUACCCGAGUAGUC